AUGGGCGGAAGCCUGAUGCAGCGACGCCGCGUGGGGGAUGACGGUCUUCGGAUUGUAAACUCCUUUCAGUAGGGACGAAGCGUGAGUGACGGUACCUGCAGAAGAAGCACCGGCUAAUUACGUGCCAGCAGCCGCGGUAAUACGUAGGGUGCGAGCGUUGUCCGGAAUUACUGGGCGUAAAGAGCUCGUAGGCGGUUUGUCGCGUCGUCUGUGAAAUCCCUCGGCUUAACCGGGGGCGUGCAGGCGAUACGGGCAGACUUGAGUACUACAGGGGAGACUGGAAUUCCUGGUGUAGCGGUGAAAUGCGCAGAUAUCAGGAGGAACACCGGUGGCGAAGGCGGGUCUCUGGGUAGUAACUGACGCUGAGGAGCGAAAGCAUGGGGAGCGAACAGGAUUAGAUACCCUGGUAGUCCAUGCCGUAAACGGUGGGCGCUAGGUGUGGGGUCCUUCCACGGACUCCGUGCCGUAGCUAACGCAUUAAGCGCCCCGCCUGG
rnacentral:rRNA from 1 species